AGCUUUCUGAAUCCGUACUGAGAUUUUGUUAGAUACCAAACCAGUAGGGCUGAUGAGACUUCAAAGAUAAGUGAAGUU
rfam:Schistosoma rodhaini strain Burundi genome assembly, scaffold: SROB_scaffold0013684